CAAUAGCGUAUAUUUAAGUUGUUGCAGUUAAAAAGCUCGUAGUUGGAUUUCGGAUGGGAUUUGCCGGUCCGUCGUUACGAUGUGCACUGGCCAGUCCUAUCUUGUUGUCGGGGACUAGCUCCUUGGAUUCACUUCCUGGGACUAGGAGCUGACGAGGUUACUUUGAGUAAAUUAGAGUGUUCAAAGCAAGCCUACGCUCUGAAUACAUUAGCAUGGAAUAACACGAUAGGACUCUGGCUUAUCUUGUUGGUCUGUGAGACCAGAGUAAUGAUUAAGAGGGACAGUCGGGGACAUUCGUAUUUCAUUGUCAGAGGUGAAAUUCUUGGAUUUAUGAAUGACGAACUUCUGCGAAAGCAUUUGUCAAGGAUGUUUUCAUUAA
rnacentral:rRNA from 1 species